rnacentral:rRNA from 1 species
AGCGAACGCUGGCGGCAGGCUUAACACAUGCAAGUCGAGCGGGCCCUUCGGGGUCAGCGGCGGACGGGUGAGUAACGCGUGGGAACGUGCCUUCUGGUCUGGAAUAACCCUGGGAAACUAGGGCUAAUACCGGAUACGCCCUUUUGGGGAAAGGUUUACUGCCGGAAGAUCGGCCCGCGUCUGAUUAGCUAGUUGGUGGGGUAACGGCCUACCAAGGCGACGAUCAGUAGCUGGCCUGAGAGGAUGAUCAGCCACACUGGGACUGAGACACGGCCCAGACUCCUACGGGAGGCAGCAGUGGGGAAUAUUGGACAAUGGGCGCAAGCCUGAUCCAGCCAUGCCGCGUGAGUGAUGAAGGCCUUAGGGUUGUAAAGCUCUUUUAUCCGGGACGAUAAUGACGGUACCGGAGGAAUAAGCCCCGGCUAACUUCGUG